GACGAACGCUGGCGGCGUGCUUAGCACAUGCAAGUCGAACGGAAAGGCCCUGCUUUUGUGGGGUGCUCGAGUGGCGAACGGGUGAGUAACACGUGAGUAACCUGCCCUUGACUUUGUGAUAACUUCAGGAAACUGGGGCUAAUACCGGAUAGGAGCUCCUGCUGCAUGGUGGGGGUUGGAAAGUUUCGGCGGUUGGGGAUGGACUCGCGGCUUAUCAGCUUGUUGGUGGGGUAGUGGCUUACCAAGGCUUUGACGGGUAGCCGGCCUGAGAGGGUGACCGGCCACAUUGGGACUGAGAUACGGCCCAGACUCCUACGGGAGGCAGCAGUGGGGAAUAUUGCACAAUGGGCGGAAGCCUGAUGCAGCAACGCCGCGUGCGGGAUGACGGCCUUCGGGUUGUAAACCGCUUUCGCCUGUAACGAAGCGUGAGUGACGGUAAUGGGUAAAGAAGCACCGGCUAACUACGUG
rnacentral:rRNA from 1 species